rnacentral:misc_RNA from 1 species
UCAAUAAUUUCAUCAUUUCAUAUAAAUAGCAAGUCCACUGUUCAGGAAGCGGGGGGGCUUGAGGCUCUUGCUGACAAGCUUGCAAGACACACUUACAAUCAACAGGCAGAGUUUGAAGAUGCAGAGGGCAUGUGGAUCAGUGCUUUGCUUUUGGCGAUAUUAUUCCAAGAUGCCAAUAUAGUAUCCUCUCCAACAUCCAUGCGUUUUAUACCCUUGCUUGCACAUCUUCUGAAAUCUGAUGAAAUGAUUGA